AGUCGAGCGGUAACAGGAAUUAGCUUGCUAAUUUGCUGACGAGCGGCGGACGGGUGAGUAACGCGUAGGAAUCUGCCUAAUAGUUGGGGAUAGCCCGGGGAAACCCGGAUUAAUACCGAAUACGCUCUACGGAGGAAAGCAGGGGAUCUUCGGACCUUGCGCUAUUAGAUGAGCCUGCGUGAGAUUAGCUAGUUGGUGAGGUAAUGGCUCACCAAGGCGACGAUCUCUAGCUGGUCUGAGAGGAUGAUCAGCCACACUGGGACUGAGACACGGCCCAGACUCCUACGGGAGGCAGCAGUGGGGAAUAUUGCACAAUGGGCGCAAGCCUGAUGCAGCCAUACCGCGUGUGUGAAGAAGGCCUUAGGGUUGUAAAGCACUUUCAGUAGUGAGGAAAGGGGUGUAGUUAAUACCUGCAUCCUGUGACGUUAGCUACAGAAGAAGCACCGGCUAAUUCCGUGCCAGCAGCCGCGGUAAUACGGAAGGUGCGAGCGUUAAUCGGAAUUACUGGGCGUAAAGCGCGCGUAGGUGGUUCAGUCAGUCAGAUGUGAAAGCCCCGGGCUCAACCUGGGAACUGCACCUGAUACUGCUGGACUUGAGUACGGUAGAGGGUAGUGGAAUUUCCUGUGUAGCGGUGAAAUGCGUAGAUAUAGGAAGGAACACCAGUGGCGAAGGCGACUACCUGGACCGAUACUGACACUGAGGUGCGAAAGCGUGGGGAGCAAACAGGAUUAGAUACCCUGGUAGUCCACGCCGUAAACGAUGUCUACUAGCCGUUGGGGGACUUGAUCCUUUAGUGGCGCAGCUAACGCGAUAAGUAGACCGCCUGGGGAGUACGG
rnacentral:rRNA from 1 species